UGGAUGAAUUCAGAUGGAUUCAAAUGUUUUUAUGUCUGAUGCUGAUGAUUCAGAUUGUAGGAUACAACACAGUGAAGUGUGAGGUGACUGAUACAGACACAGGAAGAGUGCAGCCAUUUACCUUCAGCCCUCAGCCCUCAGGUGAGGAAACAGCUGAAGCAAACA